CGCGAGGCGCCGCCCGGUACGGGCCGGGCGGAAGCGGCCGCCGUGUUUACAACCCGCCGGGGCGGGGACGCGGGAGGAGGGCAGCCGGUAGCCGGACCGGGCGGUGGGGGCCGGCGGCACCGGGAGCGGCGAGCAGGCCGCCUCCGCGCCCAUGUGCCCGCAGCCCCCGCCGUCCAUGGAAGUGAUGGAGGGGCCCCUCAACCUGGCACACCAGCAGAGCAGAAAAGCAGACCGUUUGUUGGCAGCAGGAAAAUAUGAAGAAGCAAUUUCUUGUCACAAAAAAGCUGCUGCAUACCUUACAGACGCUAUGAAGCUGACCCAGUCAGAGCAGGCUCAGCUAUCACUGGAACUACAAAGGGAUAGUCACAUGAAACAGUUACUGCUCAUCCAGGAGAGAUGGAAAAGGGCAAAGAGGGAGGAAAAGCUGAAAGCCCAGCAGAAUGCUGACAAGGAAAUAGCCGCACAUCUUCAGACUUCUUAUAAGCCAUCUGCUGAAGACUCUGAUGAUCAAAACCUAUUGGUUCCUGUUACUCAGAAAUACAGCCCUUCCACGGAGAAGCAUGCACAAGAUAUUCCGGGUGUCUUUGACAGGGACCCGGAUACACUGUUAUUUCUGCUUCAGAAGAAAAAGGAGCCAGUGGAAGCCUGUAUUGGGAGUAAAGCUCCAAAAGAUGACAAAACAAUAAUAGAAGAGCAGGCAACCAAAAUUGCAGAUUUGAAACAGCACAUAGAAUUUCUUGUGGCUGAAAAUGAGAGAUUAAGGAGAGAGAAUAAGCAGUUAAAAGCCGAAAGAGCUAGACUCCAAAAAUCUCCAGUAGACAAGGAGUUGGAUGUAGAUGCUGACUUUGUCGAGAAGUCAGAGUUGUGGGGUCUGCAGCAACACUCAGAAACUGCUUCUUCAGCUGCAACUUGGCAGAAGUUUGCAACAAGUGCUGGGAAGGCAAAGGACAUUCCAAUACCCAGCCUUCCCCCUCUGGACAUCCCGUCCCCUGAACUCCCUCUGCUGGAACUCUCCGAAGAUAUACUGAAAGGACUGAUGAAUAGCUAAAAACCAGGAAAAAGUGUUCAGUGUAGUUACCCCAAGUCAAGAAAAGGGAAAACCACCAAGACAACGGUGAUCUGAGGGCAGAAACAUCUAACACAAUCCUACUGUUGGAGAAAAGGCAUUAAAGCAACUUUGUUACUGUGAAAUACACAUCAUAUCUGAUCUACUUCAUAAAAGUUAAAGAAUAGACUUGGAAGUGCAACAAGAACACCUUACCGCUGUGCAAAUUCUCCCCUUACCUCUGUAUACCUGGUGUCUCCUGUGCUUCCUUGAAGGAGAGUAGGGACUGGAGGCUAGGAAAAGCCUAUGGAAACAAAGGUUUUUGCAGAUGAACAACUUUGUCACACACUUAAGGAUUCAUCAGCAAAGGUGGCAGGAAAAAGGUCACAAAGGAAGAAUGUUAAUAGGAAGAACUUGGAAACACGAACCAGCCUCUGUUCAGCGACCCCUUCGGUGACCACCUGAGGAGGAGGCAAGAACUUCUUCAACCUCACAGGCACAGGUGGGGAUCCCUCCCCAGGUCUGUGAAUGCUGCGGGGUGACGGGGCGGCUGUCAGUGCCCCCCAGGGGCCCACUGGUCGCUACCAGAGCUCAGACCUAGAAGCACUGGGUGCUGCCAGCUGCGCAGCCACCCACAGCAAAGCACCACAACGCCUUUGAGAAGAGGCAGAGCAGGAAGCCCCAGGCUUUGGCCAGGACAGACCCAGCAAUGGGACACUUUCCGAUGGUAACCCAGGGGAAACCAACCCAUCCCCUUCAAUUUGACUACCAAGACGCACCAGCACAAGGAGCGAGCUGUGGCGACAGCCCACGACCGAGGCCCGAACAGCCGCUCUUUGUGUAGAAAGAGCCUGAGGGGGGGAUACUGCCAUCUGCAGCAGGAAUGCAGAUUUCAACAGCCCCAAGAAAUAUCACAAAUGUUAACAGUUCCUCAUCAAAACUCAACUUGGGGGGAAUAUUUACACUUAAAAUUCACUCAUUUACAUACGCUGAACUUUAGGGGGAAAAAAAGUAUACAUGACUAAAGCCCACUUGCCAUUAAGCAAACGUACAUUGGCAGGUUUUGCACCUUGAGGCCACGCUCUAGUUGUGCGCUACACGCAUCGUAUAGGAAGACAUGGCUUGUAACUGGGUACGAAGUCGAGAAUCCACUGCCAAAGCACAGGAACAUUAACCCCUACAGAUUUCUUUGUGACUUCAAACAAAUUCCAAGUUUUCAGACCAAGUAAAUAAAGAACUUCACUGCUGGAACUAGAAGCGCUUUCAUGUCUUAAGAUAAUUUAUACACUUUUUUGUGUGUGUGACCCAAACCCAGGUCAGACUUGGUCAGAUUGGGAGCAGUUAGCAGGAGUUACUAUCCCCUUUUGGAGGUGUCACAAGCUAGCUAACAGCUGCACCUAACAUUUAAUAUAAAAAACUUCAUGUUUUAAUAGUUUUAGUAGUUUAAAUCCAUGUACACUUUAACUUUUCAAAUUAACUCCUAGACCUGGAAUUCUGCUCCACUAAUAUUUAUCAUUAUUAAAUAAAAAUAGAUACAAGUCUUUUUCCUUUUUUUUUUUUUUAAACAUCCAUUAUUCUGCUGUAUUACUUAAUUGUAAAAAGCCACGAUGCUACAACAAAAUGUUCUACAGAAAUUCCUUUCCCCCUUCACCCAGAGUAAGUGUUUGGAUUAUUAAAGACAGAACACAAGUGACAUUGGAAUUGAUUCUUCAGGAGAGGCUCUUUCUGGCUGAGCCAUCCCAGCCGUACUCCCGCGCUUCCCCUCGCAGUUUUGUCUCAAACCCGGAGAGGGCAGAGUGGUGCGCAGGAAUCACAGCAGAACACGCCAGGCAUUCCCGUGGGAGAUGCGUCUCCCUUACUGCCAACGGCUUCGGCCGUCACACACGGCCACAAAUGUAAAAAAACCGAAGACGAUGAGACGACGUUUGAUAAAGUCAUUUUAAUGGAAAAUGUAAAACCCCUUUCAACUUCAAUGUACAAAGCAUGUGUAACACUUGCACUUUUAACAAAUUAAAGCAAGCCAAUGUUUUAAAAAAAUACAUCAUUGAAUGUAUAUAUGUAUAUAUUUACAUAGCAUAUUAAGUUUAAUAUUUAGCUUUAAAAGUUCACAUAAAUUUUACCAAAAUGAGACAAUUUUUAAAUAAAUUACACCUUUUGAAAACGUUUAAUUGUACACUGAAUAGCUUCAAUAAAAUACUGAAGUGUCUG